rnacentral:lncRNA from 1 species
UAGGGUAUGUAACAGUAGCCGGACUGAACUCAAGCUCAGGACAGGAACACAGAGUGUACUUACCUGGCCUCUCCACCUCCCACAUCACCCCACAAAUACUUGGCUAGGCACAUGGAGUCUCAAUUGCCUCAAAAAAUGCAACACUAAUUUUUUGUUUUAUGUUUAAAUUCACUUAUUAAAAUGGAACAAAACAUUUUUUCCCUUAGAUUUAAUUCACUUUCAAGUAAUCUGUAUGAAGAAGUUGAAAAUAAUAAAAAAUGGACAGAAAACCAAUUUAUCAAAUAUAGAAAAGACCACCUGGGCCAUAUAAAUGAAUGUCUGGAGGUCCUACAGGAGAAACUGGAAAAGUCUGAAAAUAAAAUGGAAGAAAAACUGCUGCAGCUUUCAAGCAAAGUAGAGAAUUUCAUUAACACACAGAAACAGGAAACACAACUAAGUAAAGUAAAGCUUAUGGAAAAUAAAUUGUCCAAAAAGAUGGAACUAAUGGAAAAGCAGAUCUGGGGUGAAUUACAGACAAUGCAGAAUGAAUAUCAAUCAGGAUUUAAAUCAAUUCAUGACUCUCUCAGCUCCCUCCAACAAAUACAGAAAACAAAGAUGGAUUUAGAGAAAUAUAAAGUCCAGAAAGACCUGAAGAAAUUACAGUGUAAGAUAGUGGAAAUGCAGGAAGUAUAA